AUUGAACGCUGGCGGCAAGCCUAACACAUGCAAGUCGAACGAGUGGCGGACGGGUGAGUAAUGUCUGGGAAACUGCCUGAUGGCGGGGGAUAACUACUGGAAACGGUAGCUAAUACCGCAUACCAUCGGAUCUGCCCAGAUGGGAUUAGCUAGUAGGUGGGGUAAAGGCUCACCUAGGCGACGAUCCCUAGCUGGUCUGAGAGGAUGACCAGCCACACUGGAACUGAGACACGGUCCAGACUCCUACGGGAGGCAGCAGUGGGGAAUAUUGCACAAUGGGCGAAAGGCUGAUCCAGCCAUGCCGCGUGUAUGAAGAAGGCCUUCGGGUUGUAAAGUACUUUCGGCGGGGAAGCGUUACCCGCAGAAGAAGCCACGGCUAACUACGUGCCAGCAGCCGCGGUAAUAC
rnacentral:rRNA from 1 species